rnacentral:misc_RNA from 1 species
GAAAUGCGAUACGUAAUGUGAAUUGCAGAAUUCAGUGAAUCAUCGAAUCUUUGAACGCACAUUGCGCCCGCCAGUAUUCUGGCGGGCAUGCCUGUCCGAGCGUCAUUUCAACCCUCAAGCACUGCUUGGUGUUGGGGCGCUACGCGAGAGCGUAGGCCCUGAAAUUCAGUGGCGGACUCGCUGAAGGUCCGGGCGUAGUAGCGAUAUGUCGCCCGCGGUCUCUGGCAAGCUGGCCGUAAAGCCCCACAGACUUACAGAAGGUUGACCUCGGAUCAGGUAGGGUUACCCGCUGAACUUAA